UACGUAGGUGGCAAGCGUUGUCCGGAAUUAUUGGGCGUAAAGCGCGCGCAGGCGGUCCUUUAAGUCUGAUGUGAAAGCCCACGGCUCAACCGUGGAGGGUCAUUGGAAACUGGGGGACUUGAGUGCAGGAGAGAAGAGUGGAAUUCCACGUGUAGCGGUGAAAUGCGUAGAUAUCAGGAGGAACACCGGUGGCGAAGGCGGGUCUCUGGGCCGAAAUUGACGCUGAGGAGCGAAAGCGUGGGGAGCAAACAGG
rnacentral:rRNA from 1 species